AUCACCUCAAACACCUAAGCUUAUGUAUUUACAUUAACCACCCAAAACUUCCUCUUCUUCAAUAUAGCCACCAUUCGUUACCCGCUCACAUUCGUCUUCCUUCUUGUAGGGCUUCGCUCACCUCCGUCUCCUACUCUGUUGGUCGCCGUCUACGCGAUCUCACUCUCUUGUCUCAUCUCUUUCUCACUUCUUCCUCCUUCCAUUUAUGUUGUUUGUAUUUCCCGCAAUUUGUUUCUUAGACACUCAAAGUCCGGAAGUGCAAGAACAAAGAUUUGACAGAGCCAAGUUGCUUUCUGAUCUCAAACUUUGCAAUGGGAGAAGUGGUUAGAAAAAAAGAACAUCAUCACAUUUACCAUUGGAUCGCUUCAGGAUGACGAUUUUUGUCACACCAAGAUUGCCGGAAAUAGAGGUUAUCAGCUUAACAACAACCCACGGAACGUUUAUACUGCUUUGGCUAGAAGCUAUGCUCUGCACCUGUUAAUUUGUUGAGUUUCUUGAGCGGAUAUUCUAGGUUUAGGAAAUUAGUCAUUCUAGCUAAUGCUGGAUUUAUCGAACAUCUUUGUUUGAACACACAGAUUAAUUUUCAUAUGUAAAUUCCUAUUGUUUUGGUAGCAUGUUAAGGUAGAUGGCAAUCCGAUUUGUAUUUUCAGAUACAUUGGCCCUGGAAGUAUUCUCACCUCUUAGUAACUGACUGACUUAUUUGCUUCUUUGAUUGGGAAUUUGAAUCUGGGAUGACUGGGGAACUGAUCUGAGUUGAACCUACCGAAUCUGUUUCCGGCCAUCCCAGUUUUUGGUAUGAGAUUGAACUCGGUAGGCAAUAGAUUGUUAUUCUCGG